rnacentral:rRNA from 1 species
GACGAACGCUGGCGGCGUGCUUAACACAUGCAAGUCGAACGCUGAAGACCUGGCUUUUGUUGGGUUGGAUGAGUGGCGAACGGGUGAGUAACACGUGAGUAACCUGCCCUCUUCUUUGGGAUAACGCCCGGAAACGGGUGCUAAUACUGGAUAUUCACUGAUCUUCUCAUGGGGGUUGGUGGAAAGGUUUGUUCUGGUGGGGAUGGGCUCGCGGCCUAUCAGCUUGUUGGUGGGGUGAUGGCCUACCAAGGCGUUGACGGGUAGCCGGCCUGAGAGGGUGACCGGUCACAUUGGGACUGAGAUACGGCCCAGACUCCUACGGGAGGCAGCAGUGGGGAAUAUUGCACAAUGGGCGAAAGCCUGAGGCAGCGACGCCGCGUGAGGGAUGGAGGCCUUCGGGGUGUAAACCUCUUUCGCUCAUGGUCAAGCCGCAACUGUGGGUUGUGGUGAGGGUAGUGGGUAAAGAAGCGCCGGCUAACUACGUG